GCCAGCAUGGAGUGGACUGACUGACUCCUGGGGAUUGGUACUGGAAAAACUAAGCCCAAAUUCUUAAAGGAGGACUGAAAGACUUUGAACUGCUUUUGAAAUGGAUAACAGUUUAAGAAUCCUCAAGUCUAAGAAAUGCAUUCAAAGUCCAGUCCAGCGCCUUCGGGAUUAAAACAACAGGACAGGCUAAUGUGGAAAUCAAGGUCACACCUCUCUGCAGCGUCAUCUUUUCGCGUCUCAGCCCACUGUCCAGUCCUGGACCAUGGGAAUACUCUCUCACAGCAAUCAGUCACUGGUGUGGACCACAGGACCAUGGACCACAGGUCUGCUCUAGUGCCCUCACCUGGCACCAUCCAGCCAUUGCACCUGCUCAUCAUUCUAACCUGAAACCCAGCAGGACAGAGAAAAGAAAAUGAUUAACAAUUAACAAGGUUGAUGGAAGAAGUUUGGUUCGAACAUUAGAGUAAUGGAGGAGGUUCCACACUUUUAUUUUCAUUGGAAAGCUGUGUUUCAGUUCUUCGUCAUCUGCUUGGCAAAAAUAUUAGUACAUUUACUUUCAAUUCUCUGUAAAUUGUCUGCAUCUAGCUAUCUAUUGAUUUGAUAGGAAAAACCUUGGCUUACCUCUUGUCACGCCCUGGCCUUAGUAUGUUGUGUUUUCUUUAUUAUUUUGGUCAGGCCAGGGUGUGACAUGGGUGAUUUGUGUG